rnacentral:rRNA from 1 species
UGAGUGAAGAAGGCCUUCGGGUUGUAAAGCUCUUUCAGCCGGGAAGAAAUCACAUGGGUUAAUACCCUGUGUGGAUGACGGUACCGGAAUAAGAAGCACCGGCUAACUACGUGCCAGCAGCCGCGGUAAUACGUAGGGUGCGAGCGUUAAUCGGAAUUACUGGGCGUAAAGCGUGCGCAGGCGGUUUGUUAAGAUAGGCGUGAAAUCCCCGGGCUCAACCUGGGAACUGCGUUUAUGACUGGCAGGCUAGAGUAUGGCAGAGGGGGGUGGAAUUCCACGUGUAGCAGUGAAAUGCGUAGAGAUGUGGAGGAACACCGAUGGCGAAGGCAGCCCCCUGGGCCAAUACUGACGCUCAUGCACGAAAGCGUGGGUAGCAAACAGGAUUAGAUACCCUGGUAGUCCACGCCCUAAACGAUGUCAACUAGGUGUUGGGUGGGUAAAACCAUUUAGUACCGGAGCUAACGCGUGAAGUUGACCGCCUGGGGAGUACGGCCGCAAGGUUAAAACUCAAAGGAAUUGACGGGGACCCGCACAAGCGGUGGAUGAUGUGGAUUAAUUCGAUGCAACGCGAAAAACCUUACCUACCCUUGACAUGUCCAGAAGCUCUUAGAGAUUUGAGUGUGCCCGAAAGGGAACUGGAACACAGGUGCUGCAUGGCUGUCGUCAGCUCGUGUCGUGAGAUGUUGGGUUAAGUCCCGCAACGAGCGCAACCCUUGUCGUUAAUUGCCAUCAUUCAGUUGGGCACUUUAACGAGACUGCCGGUGACAAA